CGCCUUUUGUAGUACCUAUAUAAAAGGUCCUGCCUGCCCAAUGACUUGUUUUAAUGGCCGCGGUAUUAUGACCGUGCAAAGGUAGCGUAAUCAUUUGUCUUCUAAAUAAAGACCAGUAUGAAUGGCAAAACGAGAGCCUUACUGUCUCCCUAGCCCAGUCAAUGAAAUUGAUCCCCCCGUGCAGAAGCGGGGAUAAAAGUAUAAGACGAGAAGACCCUGUGGAGCUUUAAACUUUAACUAAUACACCACAAUAUACUUAGUAACAAGCUUUAGGUUGGGGCGACCAUGAGGUAUAACACAACCCUCACGAUAUUAACUAAGAAGGACACUUCAAAUAACUAACAUAGUAGAUUGACCCAAUAAUUGAUCAACGAACCAAGUUACCCCAGGGAUAACAGCGCAAUCUACUCAAAGAGUUCAUAUCGACGAGCAGGUUUACGACCUCGAUGUUGGAUCAGGACCUCCAAAUAGCGCAACAGCUAUUAAAUGUUCGUUUGUUCAACGAUUAAAGUCCU
rnacentral:rRNA from 1 species